GGUUCAAUGGUCUAGUGGUUAUGAUUUCUGUCUUACAUACAUAGCUUACAAGUGUGUAGAGUACACAGAAGGUCUCCAGUUCGAUCCUGGAUUGAACCA